rnacentral:rRNA from 1 species
UACGAAGGGGGCUAGCGUUGUUCGGAAUUACUGGGCGUAAAGCGCGCGCAGGCGGCUAUCCAAGUCAGUGGUGAAAGCCCGGAGCUCAACUCCGGAACUGCCAUUGAAACUGUUUAGCUUGAGGAUGAGAGAGGUGAGUGGAAUUCCCAGUGUAGAGGUGAAAUUCGUAGAUAUUGGGAAGAACACCGGUGGCGAAGGCGGGUCUCUGGGCCGUAACUGACGCUGAGGAGCGAAAGCGUGGGGAGCGAACAGG